GGCAAAACAGGACACGUCAGCGUUCUCAUUUCCCGUAAGAAAGUUAACUCAAUUUCAGUGUGGGCCGUUUACGUUAGUAUUGAAAUGAUGAGGCCCAAUUCACAAACACAACAAGCCUAACGUAAUCUCACUCCUUCUUCAACCAUGGCUGUCUGCUCGAAUACCUUCACCGGAUUUGCCAUAGCUGAAACGUAACUCUUUUCUAAGCCAUUGAAAUUAAUCUUAUUAUUAAAAUUCACCAUUAACUCUUUCAUUCAAGCUCUCAUGAUUUAAUUACCCCUUACCUAACUUCAAUCACUAAUCCCUAAUUUGCUCAACGUAAAUAUGGAUGAAGAAAACUCAGAAUCUCACUGCUACGCCUAAUACAACCGUUCUGCUUCCUUAUGCAAACAACCAGCAACAAUGGUUUCAGCCCAUAUAUUUGAUUUGAAGUCCGUUUGUGUCUCUCAAACGGUGGUGACGCGUCUUCAGCGUUUAUGGGAAGCACGGAAAGGAGGGGAGCUGAUGGAACUUCACCUGCUUCUGCUUGAUGAUAAGAUCAGGCCCCUGCAACAAUAGACUCCGACAUUGAAGAGACUCUCAAGAGUCUCUUGCUGCCAAAAAGACUUCUGAGUAGGUGUUUGAUGCUCUCAAGAAUCAGCAUGUUGACUUGGAUAUGUGAUUGUUUUACACAGUUAUAUGCGAAGAACAUUACUCCUACUGAUAACACGGACUCGAUGAAGCUCCGAACAAGAGUUAUACACAAACAAAGAACUCUCUGUAAAGCUUUCUUUAUUGCAUGAGAUAUACUAAAGCUAUGUAUUUGUUUCACCAGAUUCAAGCUGCUUUUGUCAUGGAUGAAAAUCUGAAGAAUUCCACCUACACCACAAGAAAAUGAGAGUGGGUAUGAGCUACUUCCAUGAAAAAAAACUGAAAAGGAGUUCGGAAAUUCUUGAGACGUUUUGGCACGGCUCCGAAUAACAUUUGGAUCGAGCAUGGUCAUUACAAUGCACCUCUCAUUCAGUUCUCUUCUUCUAUAGGAAACCCACAAGAAACUCCUGAAGUUACAAGAGAUGCAUGCUUACGACCCUGGUUCGAGGUGGUUGAUCAGUUGACUCAUUCACCAUUCCUUUUGCAAUUUGAAAGGUGGACAGUCUCAUUACGGUUCAAUAUAUGAAAUGACUAAUUGAUAGUCUUUUUUUAACUACUACCGAAUCACAGCUUCAUGAUUCUCUCUUAGUUUUAGAGUUACCGUAAGUUGUAGUUUGCCAAUAAAUAAUGGUUAUAGAGUUUAUAGAAAAUAACAAUGCUAUUACAACAAUUUCUCAGUGUCCUGUUUAUGACAAUAUCUUGCUUUAUGUUUCAGUAGAAGGGCAGUUCCAGGACCAAAAUAAGUAUGAAAGAUUGUAAAAAACUAUUCAAGUCUGUUUCAGCAGGUUAGUAACAAUGGAUUUGUGUUAUUGUGUAAUGGAAUUAUUACUAAUUAACAAACCUUGAAAACAGUACUUCUAUACAUUUAAGAUUUUAAAAGGUUGAUGUGUUCAUGUACAAUCAAACAGAGUUCACUAUGUAUAGUAAAAAACUAAAAACAAUAAGUAAUGAUGACAAAAAAUGCAAAGGAAAAGAUGCUCUCAUCACGAGACGUAACAAUCUGGAAAUGAUUCUAGAUGUAGAAACUCAAAUAAGAACCUUAAAACAACAGAGGCCGAACACAAUGUCAAAGAUACACGAACAGUGAUUUAGUAAUUGCCAAAUAUUUCCACUCCUUAUUAGCAUGAUUACUUUUUUUUUCUUCCUGAAGACAUAGCGUUUUAAGUAGCAAAUGGUCAUCUAACUAAUUCCUUGACAGAGUUCUCUAAAUGCAAGAUACAUUUUACCUACACAAAUCACAAGAAGUAAUUGAGCAUAUGGACACUGAACAAUUACAUGAUCCCAAGAACGCAAAGCAAACAUAACAAGGUAUAAGAUUCUAGCAAGCAGUUGUUUAGUAACUUGCCAAAUUAAUCCAGUGGUAUUGUAAAAUACAUAAUAUAACUUAAACUUGGUAAAGAAUAUAGUAAAAAAUUAACAUAUUCGUGAAAACACAUUAUACAAUUCAUAAAUCCAAUAAUAUAUAGAGAACUUUCAAAAGAACAAAAAAUGUUGGUUGAUCUAUUUCAAUAUUAUUAGUCCCAAACUCAAGUUUUGAGAAACUAACAAAAAAUAUAAAACAACAACCAAUGAUUAAUACAUAAUCAAAACAAUUUUUUAAAAAUAGUUAUAAAAAACAAAAAUCUUAUUGAUUUUUCUCUCUUUCUGGUAGAAGCUCAAGGUAAGGGAAAUUAGCAAGAAAUUAUUAGAAAACCAUGACAAAGAAUUGAUACACAAA